rnacentral:rRNA from 1 species
AUUGAACGCUGGCGGCAGGCUUAACACAUGCAAGUCGAACGAGUGGCGGACGGGUGAGUAAUGCUUGGGAAUCUAGCUUAUGGAGGGGGAUACAUAAGGGAAACUGUAGCUAAUACCGCGUACAAUAGGAUGAGCCCCCGUGGGAUUAGGUAGGUGGUGAGGUAAAGGCGCACCAAGCCGCCGAGCUCUAGCUGGUCUUAGAGGAUGAACAGCCAACCGUGGACGUAGACCCGGCCCAGAAUCCGACGGGAGGAAGCAGUGGGGAAUAUUGCGCAAUGGGGGCAACCUGACGCAGCCAUGCCGCGUGAAUGAAGAAGGCCUUCGGGUUGUAAAGUUCUUUCGGUAGCGAGGCGUUAACUACAGAAGAAGCACCGGCUAACUCCGUGCCAGCAGCCGCGGUAAUAU